ensembl:lncRNA
AAACAAAAAAUAAACUAAUGAGACUACAUGAAAUUCAAAAGCUUUUGCACAUUGAGAGAAACUAUACACAAAAUGAAACGACCACUUACAGCAUGGGAGAAGACAUUUGCAAACAAUAUAUCUGAUGAGGGGUUAAUAUCCAAAAUAUCCAAAGAACGUCUACAAUUCAAUGAAAGGAAAAAAAAAACCUGAUUAUGAAUAGACAUUUUUCCAAAGAAAAUAAAGAGAUGGCCAACAGGCAUCUGAAAAGAUGCUCAACAUCACCAGAGAACUGCGAAUCAAAGCUACAAUGAAAUAUCUGGUUAUUAUAAAACAUAAGACAACAAAUAACAACUUCUGUGGAAAACAGGAUAUGGGCUCCUCAAAAAAAUUAAAAAUAGAACUGAUAUGAUCUAGUGAUUCCACUCCCGGGCACUCAUCUGAAGAAAGCAAAGACACUAAUCAGAAAAGAUAUGUGCACCCCUAUUUUUAUUGCAGCAUUAUUUAUAAUAGCCCAAAUUGGAAGCAACCUAAGUGCCCAUCGAUAGAUGAAUGAAUAAGAAAGAUGUGAUAUCUAUGUGCACACACACUGAGUAGUGUGUUAGUCAUAAAAAGAUGAAACUUGCCAUUGUGCCAACAGGGAUGGAACUAGAGAGUAUUAUGGUAAGUAAAAUUAGAGAAUGACAAAAACUGUGUGAUUUUACUUAGGUAUGGAAUCUAAAAAUGAAAACAAACUUAAUAAAACACAUUCACAGAUAUAGAGGAAACAGGUGGCUGCUUGAGGGGAGGGUUGGAGGAAGGAGAAAUAAGAGAGGGAAAUUAAGAGGUACGAACUUCCAGUUAUAAAGUAAAUGUCACAGCUAUGAAAUGUACAGAGUGGGAAAUAUAGCCAAUAAUUGCAUAAUAUUUUUUUUACAGUGACAUAUGGUAACGACUUAUCAUGGUGAUAUUUUGAAAUGUAUAGAAACAUUGAAUGGCUGUAUUGUAUACCAGGAACUAACGCGAAGUUCAAUUAUACUUAAACUCCAGGAGAAAGAGGUCAGAUUUGUGGUUACCACAGGCAGCAGAUGGGGGGAGGCGGAAUUGGAGGAAGGCAUUCAAAAGCUACACAGUUUCAGUUAUAAGAUAAGUAAGUGCUAGGGGCGUAAUGGACAUGGUAAAUAUGAUCAACAGUGCUGAAUGUUAUAUAUAAGGUUGUUUAGAGAGUAAAUCCUAGACGUUCUUAUCACAGAAAUACUUUUUCCUGUUUCUUUAAUUUUGCAUCUACAUGAAAUGGGUGUUGAUUAAACUUACUGUGUAAUCAUCUCAUGAUGUAUGUAAGUCAAAUCAUUGGACUGUAUACCUUAAACAUAUACGGGGCUAUAUGUUAAUUAUAUCUCAGUAAAACUGGAAGAAAAGAAACUCCACCGAGGAUGAGCACAGCACGUUACAGAUCUGGCAUGAGUCCACCAGGAGGUAAGUGGGCACCUCCUGUCCCUGUGUGAGCAGCAGGCUUCUUGGACUGUGACAGGUCCCCGCAGCGCCCGGGCUUUUGCUCUAUCAGAAAAAAUUCCAGAAAGCUCAUUUCCCUUCAGAGACUCCUUGCCCCUUGACAGCUUCUGCCCAGCGGGGCUUUCAACACUGCUCUGCUUUGUGGGAGGGGGUUCCGCUGGGUGACAGUCAGGUACUUCUGGGAAGGGCAGUGGGCUAAGACACAGAAAGUCAUCCUUCCCAAAAAAUGUCUGAAUCAAGUAUCCAGUGGAAUAAUUGUAUUUUUG